UACGAAGGGGGCUAGCGUUGCUCGGAAUCACUGGGCGUAAAGCGUGCGUAGGCGGCUGCGCAAGUCGGUUGUGAAACCCCGGGGCUCAACCCCGGAACUGCAUCCGAUACUGCGUGGCUAGAGGUAGGUAGGGGAGAUCGGAAUUCCUGGUGUAGCGGUGAAAUGCGCAGAUAUCAGGAGGAACACCGGUGGCGAAGGCGGAUCUCUGGGCCUUACCUGACGCUCAGGCACGAAAGCUAGGGGAGCGAACAGG
rnacentral:rRNA from 1 species